GCGCCGAUUUUGAAAAUUUUCAUUCUUUCAUUUGCGCCGAUUUCAUUUUUUUCAUUUGCGCCGAUUUUAUAUUUUUUCCUAAUUGGAUUUACAGGUAAGUUACAGGUAAGUUUAUACUUUUAUAUUGGCUGAGCACAGAGUAUAAAGACAAAUCAAGUGACAUUGCAAUUGGUAAAUGGCUAUCCCAAUGUUUCAGGUUACCAUUCCUUUCCCUAAAUGAAAUCAAUGACUGCUUCACGUUUGACAUUGUCUGACGCUCCGCUCCUUCUGAUGACAAAUGUCAUACAUUCUUAGACAACGUACAAGUACACAUUCCAUAACGGUCAACUAAUGCGUGAUGGCGUCCAUAAAAUUAACGAAGGGAUGAUUUCAACUUCACCAUUUUGAACUCUUGGUUUAAUAGCUUCCCUGUGAGAAAAUGCGAACUCUAGAAAUGCCCCCACCAGUACGUAUGCCAGACAAAGAAAAAGAUGGCCUUCGUUAUUGACAAUUACGCCAAAUAUAGAAGAUGCGAAAUCAUAAGUAAGGAAUAUAUUAGAUGUGUUGCCUAUACAUACUCGGCAAGAACAGAUUUAUGAUUUGAAUGUAUUCCGUUUUUAUGGAUUUGAAUGCUGCACAUAUAUUUU
rnacentral:lncRNA from 1 species